AUACGGAGGAUGCAAGCGUUAUCCGGAUUUAUUGGGUUUAAAGGGUGCGUAGGCGGUUUGCUAAGCGGGAGGUGAAAUGCCGGCGCUCAACGUCGGAAGUGCCUCCCGAACUGGUGGACUUGAAUGACUCUGCCGUGGGAGGAAUGUGUAGUGUAGCGGUGAAAUGCUUAGAGAUUACACAGAACACCGAUUGCGAAGGCAUCCCACGAAGGGUUGAUUGACGCUGAGGCACGAAAGCGUGGGGAUCAAACAGGAUUAGAUACCCUGGUAGUCUACGCAGUAAACGAUGAUGACUAACCGCUGGGCUUAGCAUUUCAGUGGCCAAGCGAAAGCGAUAAGCCAUCCACCUGGGGAGUACGACCUCAAGGUUGAAACUCAAAGGAAUUGACGGGG
rnacentral:rRNA from 1 species